AUGGGUCACAGGAGCAGGAUGGGAGAAACUCUGCCUACCUGGCCUGGAGGAGCCGUCUGUGCAGGCAGUUCUCAAAGGCUCAGGCUUGCCGGCUUCCUGCAGACUCUCCAGUGAAUCAGCCUUUGAACAGCAGACUGAGUCAGAGCAGCUCAAAGGGCCCUGAAGGCAGAAGUCGCUUCAGAGUGCACACCUGCGGGCAGUGCGUGACCCUUAUCUGCGUCUGAGCAGAGUGAACUACAGCUUGUCGGCCAGCUGGAGAGGUGCCAUGGAGGGAGUUGGUGCCCAGGGACUGGUGGGAUCUUAUGGAGGUUUGCCUUGAGGAUAUGACAUGGCCUACAGAGUGUUCUGUGUUCCAUUGAGAAGACUAUGUAUUCUAUAGAUUUGGAUGGAACAGUCUGCAGAUGUCUGAGCCGUCCGUUUGGUCUGGGAUACAGUGGGCCUCAGGGAAAGAAGAGAAGAAAGGAAGGCCAAGAGAAAAGGGGCUUCGACAAGCGAGGACAGCAGUUACCAAGGAAACAGAGAAGAGCAGACAUCAGAAGCAUCUCCAAGUUGGCACUGUGGACCACGGUGGAUGGUCAUCUGGGAUAAAGAUGAUGCGGUGCCUUCCCCCUGCAUCCCUGAGUCACAUCACAGGAUCUUUUAUCCUUCAUUCAUUUUAUAGUUCUUAUUUGUGCCUGUAUGUGUACACUGUGCAAAUGCGAGCGUCUGUGCGAGUAGAGGCCAGAGGUUGGCAUCAGGUGUCUUCCUUAGUUAUUAUUCUCCAUUUUAUCUUUUGAGACGGUCUCCUGAACCUGGAGCUCGCUUAUAUGGCUAGAUGGGGUGCCCUGAUAACUCUAGGGAUCUGCCUGUGUCCACUCUCCUAGCACUGGGAUUACCGGCAUGCGCUACAGUACGUGGCUUUUUACAUGGGCUCUGGCAAUUUGAACUCAGGUCCCCAUGUUUGUGUGGCAAGCACCUUGCCCACUAGGCUGUUUCUCCAGCCCCUAUUGUGCCGUUUGUCUUCCUAUAAAAUGACUUAACUUGUCUGCAUGAUGUCCCCAACAACGUCAUCUUCCCUGGAACCUGGAAAGGGCUGGUCCACAGAGACUGCCAUAGCUGGAGACCACAGUGCUCCUGCACUGGAGACUGGGUCACUUUCUACUUGAUUUGCAUCCUCUGCCACUGAAAGGGCUUAGGAGGAGGCUACCCAUAAAAGGGGAUUAUUUGGUGUGUGUGUGUGUGUGUGUGUGUGUGUGUGUGUGUGUGUGUGUGUGAACCACAGCAAUAAAAAGGCUUAGAAGAUUAACCAGAUGAGAACAUUAGCACAAACUCAUCAGUUCCAAGAGGUAUUCUGUGAAAACAGAACCUUCUUAAAAAAAAAAAAAGUCCGUUCAAUGAAAACUUCCCUCGAAUAAAGAGUGUUUGGCAUUUCU
rnacentral:lncRNA from 1 species